rnacentral:rRNA from 1 species
AGCCUGAACGCUGGCGGCGUGGCUAAGACAUGCAAGUCGAACGACAUAGUGGCGAACGGGUGAGUAAUGUAUCGCUAAUCUGCCCUGAGCUCGAGGAUAGCGGAGGGAAACUUCCGGUAAUACUCGAUAGUCCUCAAGCACUGCAUGGUGUUUGAUGCAAAGCUUUAUGCGGCCGGAUGAGGCGAUAUGGUAUCAGCUAGUGGUAGGUAACGCCUACAAGGCUUCGACGCCUAGCCGGACUGAGAGGUCGGCCGGCCACAUCGGGACUGAGACACUCGGCCCGGACUCCGUACGGGAGCUGCAGUAACGAAUCUCCGCAAUGACACGAAGUGUGACGGAGCGACGCCGCGUGCAGGACGAACGCCCGUUACGGGUA